UACGGAGGAUGCAAGCGUUAUCCGGAAUGAUUGGGCGUAAAGCGUCCGCAGGCGGCCAUGUAAGUCUGCUGUCAAAGCGUCUGGCUCAACUAGAUAAAGGCAGUGGAAACUACAUAGCUAGAGUGAGGUAGGGGUAGAGGGAAUUCCUGGUGUAGCGGUGAAAUGCGUAGAGAUCAGGAAGAACACCGGUGGCGAAAGCGCUCUGCUGGACCUUAACUGACACUGAGGGACGAAAGCUAGGGGAGCGAAUGGG
rnacentral:rRNA from 1 species